GAGUUUGAUCAUGGCUCAGAUUGAACGCUGGCGGAAUGCUUUACACAUGCAAGUCGAACGGCAGCACGGACUUCGGUCUGGUGGCGAGUGGCGAACGGGUGAGUAACAUAUCGGAACGUAUCCAAUAAUGGGGGAUAGCUAAUCGAAAGGUUGGCUAAUACCGCAUACGCCCUACGGGGGAAAGCUAGGGACCUUCGGGCCUGGCGUUAAUGGAGCGGCCGAUAUCUGAUUAGCUAGUUGGUGGGGUAAAGGCCCACCAAGGCGACGAUCAGUAGCUGGUCUGAGAGGACGACCAGCCACACUGGAACUGAGACACGGUCCAGACUCCUACGGGAGGCAGCAGUGGGGAAUUUUGGACAAUGGGCGCAAGCCUGAUCCAGCCAUUCCGCGUGAGUGAAGAAGGCCUUCGGGUUGUAAAGCUCUUUCGCAAGGGAAGAAAACUUAGAUACUAAUAUUAUCUGAGGUUGACGGUACCUUGAUAAGAAGCACCGGCUAACUACGUGCCAGCAGCCGCGGUAAUACGUAGGGUGCGAGCGUUAAUCGGAAUUACUGGGCGUAAAGCGUGCGCAGGCGGUUUUGUAAGUCAGAUGUGAAAUCCCCGAGCUCAACUUGGGAACUGCGUCCGAAACUACAAGACUAGAAUAUGUCAGAGGGGGGUAGAAUUCACGUGUAGCAGUGAAUGCGU
rnacentral:rRNA from 1 species